AAGCAAAAAACACAAACAAGGCAUUUAGAUUUGUUAGGAAGGAAUUCAAGUCAGUCAGUAAAGUGAUAACUUUUGAAUUAUCUGAGAAAAAUAUACUCAGAACAAAAUCAGGCACACUAAAGGUAUCCAUAAUCCACAUUAUUUACUAGGCUAAAGGUAAGUACAAACAAAUCUACAUGGACUAAUUGUAUCACAGAACAAAAAGGGUAGCAAAAUCCAGUAAUUCCAAUGGAGUAAUAAAGUUGCAGACAAAGGAAAAUUAACGUGUGCAUUGCUUGAGAUAUGACUAAAAUGUCAUUAAAAUAAAUUCUAAGUUAUGAAUAUUCAUUUGAAAAGUUACAAAGUACACACUGAUUUAUAUUUCAGAAGCAAGGAUAUAUGUUUCUAUAUAAUUUAGUCCUAAAUAUAGUUCAUUUCCUAUGCUAAUGCUUUUUUCCUUCUUCUUACCUUCUUAGGUCAACAACAAGAGGCCAGGACCUCCCAAGAAAAGCUUUACUAAUGUAAUAGCUUUGGCCAAGUCCACCCAAUAUAUUUUCCUCUCUGCAAAGAGAAACAAGCUAUUGUCUCAUCUUAGGUUUCAUCUUCUUCCAUGCCACUGUUAUUCAUGUUCAAAUCCUGGCUGUCCUUCAGGGUCCAAUUCAAAUGAUUAUCGCCAUUUUCUAUUAAUGUCAUUUCUUCCUAUUUUCUACCUUUUGUUAGCUAUGUUAAAGUGUUUCUUUACCAACAUCCCCCAUAUAUUGUGUAACACAGUGUCUAUGGCUUACUCAUUUUUGAAUCCUUAUCAUGACCUGACAUAAUGAAGAUUCUUAGUACAUAGUGAUACAUGUAAAUAUGAGUUAAUUAGUACAUGAUAGACUUGAUUUCCAGAAUGAUUUUGUAUAGUUGAAUUGUGUAGUAAGGGGACACAUGUGAAAUGAAGACUUUAGUCAGUAUCAAGAAGAUAUUUUGGGUGACUUCACAUAUCUGCCAAUGAUAAAUCUAGAAACAAUAGGUGCUUGGGUAGGUGAUUUCCUUUUGCCUUCUUUAUCAUUGUUUUCCCAGUAUUUCUUACAUUCAUCUAAUUUCAUUAGAUGCCCAUAUACUUUAUACUGGCUCUUCCUGUGAGGUUCGAACUGGUCCAGUCCAUUUGUUUUCAGAAUUGAUUCAUCUGGAGAGUCAUCUCCUAUCCUCCCAAACAAUGAUAUACCAGUCUGAGGACUGUGUAGAAGGGACUUCUCUUUCUACUCAGUAUGACCAAAAUAAUUCAAUUCUAGUUGUGGUGUGUGAUUUAUGAAUAUUUUGUCCUUUAGUUUGUGUGAGCCAAUUUUGUGCCAUAAGAAUUUUAGCCUCCUUUUCCACAAAAGAGUGAUUUAAUCAAACAAAAGUUGACAAUCAAUGUAGUACAUUUGUGUGACAGUGAUUAAACAUGGUGUUUUUCUCUUAGGUGUCUGAGUAGAUUUGGAAAUGCCCAUUCAGCCCUCAGAGCUCCUCUGCUUUAAGGGUGAUGGACUUCCUGUACCACUACGUAGUGCAUGAGUGCCAGCCACUGGUAUCUAGAACUGUGAUUAGUGAGGAAACACUAGGAGGAACAAACAACCCAACUCUUUUUAUCUAAUCUGUUGACUCCAAAGGGACCUUCUGCUUAUUCCAGUUAAAACUCAAGCUGCAAUUCAAAAUGAAAUCAGUAUCUUUUUUCUCUACUUUUCAGCAAAGCAAGAUGCUACCUUAUAAUUACCACGUAACAAUCAAUCGCAAACAUAGUGGCUUAAAGCAGCUCCUCUUUUAGCCUACAUAUCUGCAAACUGGCAGUCUGGACUGAGCUCAGCUGGAUGUUUUUUCUGAGCUGAUCAUGUAUGUAGGGUCUGCUGCUGGCUGGUUUAGACUGAUGGUGGAUGAGAAACCACAUGAAGAAGAGAGGCAUGAUGGUGGCAGAGUUCUGAAAGAGUCACACAGAAGGGCGUUGAGUUCGUGGCUUGAAAAUAGCAUCCUGUCACUUCUACCACAUUCUAUUUACCAGGCCAGCCCAGAUAAAGAUGUGAAGAAACAGACUCCAUCUCUUGAUGGGAGAAGUUGAAAAUCAAUGGAAAAUGGCAUGGAUAAGGAAAGGAGUGAUGAUUGUGGCCAUAUUUGUAAUGGCCAUAUUUGAUACCCUUUUCAGUUUUCCUAGCCACACUUCUCAUUGGCCAGGAAAAUUAAAUGCAUGUCAACACUGAAGAAAACAGAUCUUGGUUAAAAGCAAUGAUGUAGCUAAUAUCCCGUUCAGGUAAAAGAUUACUUAUAUAGUGUGAGACAGGCAUGAGGCAGAGAAGUGCUUACAGUUCUUUUACAGGAAGCUUUUGUUACGUGUUGUCAGCACAUUGCUGUGAUGCUCAAGUAUAGCUCUUUAAUGUGAAAACCUGGUAUUUGGGCAUGGCUUGAAGCAGGUGGGUGUCAUUGUGACUGGCUGCUACCUCCCCAUGAGUCUUCUAAAAUAAAACCUGCAAAUUCACAUCUUCCCCAUGCUUCCAGAGAAUGCAUAUUCUUCCUUUGAAAAAAGAAAACCAGCACUGUUCAUAAUAGCCAAGAUUUGGAAGCCACCUAAGUGUCCAUCAACAGAUGAAUGGAGAAACUGUGGUACAUAUACACAACGGAGUGCUAUUCAGCCAUAAAAAAGAAUGAUACUCUGUCAUCUGCAACAACAUGAAUGGAACUGGAGAUCAUUAUGUUGUUAAAUAAGCCAGACACAGAAAGACAAACAUCACAUAUUUUCACUUAUUUUGGGGAUAUAAAAGUCAAAACAAACUCAUGGAGAUAGAGAACAGAUAGACGGUUACCAGAGGCUAGGAGGAGGAGUGGUGGGGGGCAGUUAGUGAUGGUUAAUUGGUACAAAAAAAUGGUUAGAAAUAAUAAAUAAGACCUAGUAUUAGAUAGGACAACAGGAGGACUAUAGUCAAAAAUAAUUUAUUUGUACAUUUCAAAGUAACUAAAAGAGUGUAAUUGUAUUAUUUGUAGCACAUAGGAUAAAUGCUUGAGGUGACGGAUACCCCAUUUACCCUGAUGUGAUUAUUACACAUCGUAUGCCUGUACCAAAAGAUCUCAUGUACCUCAUAAAUACAUACACCUACUAUAUACCCACACAAAUUAAAAAUUAAAAAAAUUUAAAGAAAUUACAGUUUGUUGGUUUUGAAUAUUUGACCAAAUUUUUUACUAAGCACAGAUAGAUUGAAUAUAAUUUUAUUGUCCUUUUGACAUUAUGAUAAUGAAGGUAUCUACACAGAAGUCUGAGAUGAGAAAAAAAUGAUAUAAUAUCCACCUACUACAUAGUGGGUAGUUUAUAUACUAAAGUUAUUGUUAUGAGAAAGAAUGGCUUAGGAAUAUUAUUUAAAAUUAAUUAAGGGGUGUUAAAAAUAAAAUACCAAGUGUAAAAAUGACAAAGGCAAGAAGAAACAGUAUAUAAUGUGAGUAAAUCUUAAUCUUUCCAAGAGAGGAGACAGUACAUAAUGUCUAAAAUUGUUAAACCAUGAAAUAGAAAUAUAGUUAUUUUAUUCAUAAUUAAGGAGAUAACUACUAUAGCACGAAAUCGUGCCAAAAAUGGUUGCCUCUGGGAAAUGUGAUUAUAGAUAUUAUAAUAUUUUGGACUGUAAAAAUCUGCUUUUAAGACUGAGGAAAUACAAAUAGGACAAUAUUUAUUUGAAAUUUGUAUCCUCAGGGAGUGUAAAGAAAUUAAUGUAUCCACAAAAUAAUAAUAGCUGCUAUUUGAAAACAUAGUUUUCUUGAAAGUUAAAAUAGUAAUAGUCUUCUAAAAAUUUUGUUAGUUUUGGUUUUCUCUUUAAUCUGAGUUAUGUAGAAAAGUGCUUAUUUCAAAUUAGGUAGGCUUGUUUUAUUCCUUUUUCUGUCUUUUUUCUAUCAACUAGUGUUUUAUUGUGUUCAGAAAAUGCCAUGCAUUAAAAGACUACUUUUGAGAAUUUCUAGAGAUUUUCUUUGUUACUAAAGAGAUUUUUGUAAUUGUUACAUGGGAUUUUAAAAAGAAUGUAAAUUAUCCUUUUUGUCAAGUAUAAUGAUUUCUGAAACCUAGCUGUGUCAGAAUACUGUAUAAUACUGUAAUAGUAUGUUGUUUUUGGCUAUGUGUACUUAUUUCUUAGAGUGGUAUGUUAAAGCCUCGACCUUGUGACUUUGUUUAUUUCUCUCUCUACAUCUAAACAUUUCCAAGACAUGUUAUUUGCAAUACCAAGACCAUAACUAUUAUGUAUUUAAUCAAAAUAAAAUAUUUCGGCUCUCUAUAAUUCACCUUGAACUUUAUUUUGUUAAAUAUAAAUGUUGUUGAUUAUACAACAUUUCAUUAUCAAUCCCUAGACACAUUUCUAAUCCACUAUAAUUGUUUUAAAAUAAAAGGAGAAGGGAAGGUUGUA
rnacentral:lncRNA from 10 species